AUUGAACGCUGGCGGCAGGCCUAACACAUGCAAGUCGAACGAGUGGCGGACGGGUGAGUAAUGUCUGGGAAACUGCCUGAUGGAGGGGGAUAACUACUGGAAACGGUAGCUAAUACCGCAUACCAUCGGAUGUGCCCAGAUGGGAUUAGCUUGUUGGUGGGGUAACGGCUCACCAAGGCGACGAUCCCUAGCUGGUCUGAGAGGAUGACCAGCCACACUGGAACUGAGACACGGUCCAGACUCCUACGGGAGGCAGCAGUGGGGAAUAUUGCACAAUGGGCGCAAGCCUGAUGCAGCCAUGCCGCGUGUAUGAAGAAGGCCUUCGGGUUGUAAAGUACUUUUGGCAGAGAAGCGGUAUCUGCAGAAUAAGCACCGGCUAACUACGUGCCAGCAGCCGCGGUAAUAC
rnacentral:rRNA from 1 species